rnacentral:misc_RNA from 1 species
AAGUCGUAACAAGGUUUCCGUAGGUGAACCUGCGGAAGGAUCAUUAUCGAGUACGGGGACUUAUUGUCCCUGCCCUCCAACCCUUUGUCUACCUGACCAGAUGUUGCUUCGGCAGGCCCGCCGCCCCGCGAGAGGUGGCCGCCGGGGGUCCUUACCGGCCCCGGGUCCGCGCCUGUCGAUGGCCCUCUAUAAACUCUUGCUUAAACCGUGUCGUCUGAGUAAAACAAACAAAUAAAAACAAAACUUUCAACAACGGAUCUCUUGGUUCUG